rnacentral:rRNA from 1 species
AUUGAACGCUGGCGGUAGGCCUAACACAUGCAAGUCGAACGCGAAAGUCCUUCGGGAUGAGUAGAGUGGCGGACGGGUGAGUAACGCGUAGGAAUCUAUCCUGUAGUGGGGGAUAACGUUUCGAAAGGAACGCUAAUACCGCAUACGCCCCAAGGGGGAAAGCGGGGGAUCUUCGGACCUCGUGCUAUAGGAGGAGCCUAAGUCGGAUUAGCUAGUUGGUGGGGUAAAGGCCUACCAAGGCGACGAUCUGUAGCGGGUCUGAGAGGAUGAUCCGCCACACUGGGACUGAGACACGGCCCAGACUCCUACGGGAGGCAGCAGUGGGGAAUAUUGGACAAUGGGCGGAAGCCUGAUCCAGCCAUGCCGCGUGUGUGAAGAAGGCCUUUUGGUUGUAAAGCACUUUAAGCGAGGAGGAGGCUACUUAGAUUAAUACUCUGGGAUAGUGGACGUUACUCGCAGAAUAAGCACCGGCUAACUCUGUGCCAGCAGCCGCAGUAACAC